rnacentral:rRNA from 1 species
AGAGUUUGAUCAUGGCUCAGAGCGAACGCUGGCGGCAGGCCUAAUACAUGCAAGUCGAACGGCUCUUCGGAGCAGUGGCGGACGGGUGAGUAACGCGUGGGAACGUGCCCUUUGGUUCGGAACAACACAGGGAAACUUGUGCUAAUACCGAAUGUGCCCUUCGGGGGAAAGAUUUAUCGCCAUUGGAGCGGCCCGCGUUGGAUUAGCUAGUUGGUGGGGUAAAGGCCCACCAAGGCUACGAUCCAUAGCUGGUCUGAGAGGAUGAUCAGCCACACUGGGACUGAGGCACGGCCCAGACUCCUACGGGAGGCAGCAGUAGGGAAUCUUGCGCAAUGGGCGAAAGCCUGACGCAGCCAUGCCGCGUGAAUGAUGAAGGUCUUAGGAUUGUAAAAUUCUUUCACCGGGGAAGAUAAUGACGGUACCCGGAGAAGAAGCCCCGGCUAACUUCGUGCCAGCAGCCGCGGUAAUACGAAGGGGGCUAGCGUUGCUCGGAAUUACUGGGCGUAAAGGGCGCGUAGGCGGACAUUUAAGUCAGAGGUGAAAGCCCAGGGCUCAACCUUGGAAUUGCCUUUGAUACUGGAUGUCUUGAGUUCGGGAGAGGUGAGUGGAAUGCCGAGUGUAGAGGUGAAAUUCGUAGAUAUUCGGCGGAACACCAGUGGCGAAGGCGACUCACUGGCCCGAUACUGACGCUGAGGCGCGAAAGCGUGGGGAGCAAACAGGAUUAGAUACCCCGGUAGUCCAA